AUUAUCAUAUAUUGUGAAAAUUCUGCACCAAGAGAUUUCAUCUAACGAUGUUGAAGCGUUUUCACAAAUUCGGUUAUUUGGUACUUUAACUGCACUAAUUGAUUAACUUUCCUACUAAAAAAUCUUAAUUGAGAAAAAAGCAAAAUCGAACCCAAAACACAAAAGGAAAAAUAAAGGGAAUAAACUUCUUUGGAUAUUCCUUCAACUCUUUUGGAAGCGCUAUGAAUUGAUACAAAAAAUUGUAUAAGUACUAAAGAAAGGAGCACUCCCAAAAAAAUGCCUUAAGAAAAAAACACAGUGAAAUCAAUUUUAACCUAAUUAAGAGGAGAUUUGGUCAACAAAGAAAUAUAGGAAGGCGCCGAUACCAUUGAAUGCAGUAAAUAUAAUUAAUUAUUAGUGUGAAUUAUUUAUAAAAUAUAUUAUUUAAGAAUGAAUAAGUAAAUAAAUUUUUAAAU